rnacentral:lncRNA from 1 species
UGAAGGGUUGCAGUGAUACUAGUUCACAGGCCUCCUUCCCUGCCAGGAUGGUCUACAAAGAGCUGGUCUGACAUCAGUCCCAUUGGGAUUUCUGCAGGAGCCAAAGCCAUGACAUUUCCAGAGUGUUUCCUAAUCUCGAGAAAGAAGGUCCAGAUACCCGAUUUUCAAGAGGCAGACACUAAGGCAGCUAUACUCCCCAGGAACGCAGUGGUCGGACCUAACACAGGUGAAACGGAAGUUAGACUUAAUCCUUGAUUCUCCUUCCUGGCAGGAGCCAGAGAGGGUACAGCUGAGACUGCAUCAGUUCUACAAACCAGUGUCAAGGACUAGGAGGCAGGCUAUUUUUAUGUGCUUGGGAAAAUAAGAAAAUGUAGUGAGAACCUUUUUAAAUGACUUGUCCGGCACCAUGGAGGAUCAUCGGAGCCCAAGAGAGGAUGAAACUCAAGUGCUUGAAUUGUGACACCUCCUUUCUGC